GCAGAAAAUCGGGCAUAUUUUCCCAGACUACGAAUCUGAGGGUCGGGCGUUCGAAUCGCUCCGGGUGCGCCA
rnacentral:tRNA from 2 species